rnacentral:rRNA from 1 species
AGGAUGGACGCUGGCGGCGUGCUUAACACAUGCAAGUCGAACGAUGAAGGCUGGAGCUUGCUCUGGCUGGAUUAGUGGCGAACGGGUGAGUAACACGUGAGUAACCUGCCCCCAGACUCUGGGAUAAGCGCUGGAAACGGCGUCUAAUACCGGAUACGAGCUUCCACCGCAUGGUGAGGAGCUGGAAAGAAUUUCGGUCUGGGAUGGACUCGCGGCCUAUCAGCUUGUUGCGAGGUAAUGGCUCACCAAGGCGACGACGGGUAGCCGGCCUGAGAGGGUGACCGGCCACGACUGGGACUGAGACGACGGCCCAGACUCCUACGGGA